GAAGAGAACAAGAACCUCUGCCUGGUA
rnacentral:piRNA from 1 species